rnacentral:rRNA from 1 species
GACGAACGCUGGCGGCGUGCUUAACACAUGCAAGUCGAACGGAAAGGCCCUGCUUGCAGGGUACUCGAGUGGCGAACGGGUGAGUAACACGUGGGUGGUCUGCCCUGCACUUCGGGAUAAGCCUGGGAAACUGGGUCUAAUACCGGAUAGGAGCCAUUUUUAGUGUGAUGGUUGGAAAGUUUUUUCGGUGUAGGAUGAGCUCGCGGCGUAUCAGCUUGUUGGUGGGGUAAUGGCCUACCAAGGCGGCGACGGGUAGCCGGCCUGAGAGGGUGGACGGCCACAUUGGGACUUACAGACGGCCCAGACUCCGACGGGAGGCAGCAGUGGGGAAGAUUGCACAAUGGGCGCAAGCCUGAUGCAGCGAGGCCGCGGGGGGGAUGACGGCCUUCGGGUUGUAAACUCCUUUCGCUAGGGACGAAGCUUUUUGUGACGGUACCUAGAUAAGAAGCACCGGCUAACUACGUG